rnacentral:rRNA from 1 species
UACAGAGGGGGCGAGCGUUAUUCGGAAUUAUUGGGCGUAAAGGGCGCGUAGGCGGCUUGACAAGUCCAAGGUGAAAUCCCUCGGCUCAACCGAGGAACUGCCUUGGAAACUGUCUGGCUCGAGGCCGGGAGAGGGUAGUGGAAUUCCCAGUGUAGCGGUGAAAUGCGUAGAUAUUGGGAGGAACACCGGUGGCGAAGGCGGCUACCUGGACCGGAUCUGACGCUGAGGCGCGAAAGCGUGGGGAGCAAACAGG